rnacentral:rRNA from 1 species
AUUGAACGCUGGCGGCAGGCCUAACACAUGCAAGUCGAACGAGUGGCGGACGGGUGAGUAAUGUCUGGGAAACUGCCUGAUGGAGGGGGAUAACUACUGGAAACGGUAGCUAAUACCGCAUACCAUCGGAUGUGCCCAGGUGGGAUUAGCUAGUGGGUGUGGUAACGGCUCACCUAGGCGACGAUGCCUAGCUGGUCUGAGAGGAUGACCAGCCACACUGGAACUGAGACACGGUCCAGACUCCGACGGGAGGCAGCAGUGGGGAAUAUUGCACAAUGGGCGAAAGCCUGAUGCAGCCAUGCCGCGUGUGUGAAGAAGGCCUUCGGGUUGUAAAGCACUUUCAGCGGGGAGGCGUUACCCGCAGAAGAAGCACCGGCUAACUCCGUGCCAGCAGCCGCGGUAAUAC